GCUUGCUUCAGCUGUACCUGUAGUAAAAUUGGAAUGAGACAAAAGAUUAGCAUGGUCCUUGUUGGAGGAUGACAUGCAAAUUUGUGAAAUGUUCCAUAUUUUU
ensembl:snRNA U6 U6 spliceosomal RNA